rnacentral:rRNA from 1 species
AACGAACGCUGGCGGCAGGCUUAACACAUGCAAGUCGAGCGCCCCGCCAGGGGAGCGGCAGCCGGGUGAGUACCGCGUGGGGACGUACCUUUUGGUUCGGAACAACUCCGGGAAACUGGAGCUAAUACCGGAUAAGCCCUAACGGGGAAAGAUUUAUCGCCGAAAGAUCGGCCCGCGUCUGAUUGGCUAGUUGGUGAGGUAACGGCUCACCAAGGCGACGAUCAGUAGCUGGUCUGAGAGGAUGAUCAGCCACACUGGGACUGAGACACGGCCCAGACUCCUACGGGAGGCAGCAGUGGGGAAUAUUGGACAAUGGGCGCAAGCCUGAUCCAGCCAUGCCGCGUGAGUGAUGAAGGCCUUAGGGUUGUAAAGCUCUUUUGUCCGGGAAGAUAAUGACUGUACCGGAAGAAUAAGCCCCGGCUAACUUCGUG